CACCUGCUUUUCAGGUGUGGAAACUGAGGCACAGCAGCAUGGAAUCACUUCCCCAGUGUCACACAGCUGGCUAGUGAGUAGAAUUUGA
rnacentral:miRNA from 1 species